rnacentral:rRNA from 1 species
GAUGAACGCUGGCGGCGUGCCUAAUACAUGCAAGUAGAACGCUGAAGGAGGAGCUUGCUUCUCUGGAUGAGUUGCGAACGGGUGAGUAACGCGUAGGUAACCUACCUGGUAGCGGGGGAUAACUAUUGGAAACGAUAGCUAAUACCGCAUAAGAGUAGAUGUCGCAUGACAUUUGCUUAAAAGGUGCAAUUGCAUCACUACCAGAUGGACCUGCGUUGUAUUAGCUAGUUGGUGAGGUAACGGCUCACCAAGGCAACGAUACAUAGCCGACCUGAGAGGGUGAUCGGCCACACUGGGACUGAGACACGGCCCAGACUCCUACGGGAGGCAGCAGUAGGGAAUCUUCGGCAAUGGACGGAAGUCUGACCGAGCAACGCCGCGUGAGUGAAGAAGGUUUUCGGAUCGUAAAGCUCUGUUGUAAGAGAAGAACGAGUGUGAGAGUGGAAAGUUCACACUGUGACGGUAUCUUACCAGAAAGGGACGGCUAACUACGUG